rnacentral:rRNA from 1 species
ACCCGAAACCGGGUGACCUAUCCAUGGCCAGGUUGAAGCGAGGGUAAAACCUCGUGGAGGACCGAACCACGUUGCUGUUGAAAAAGCAUGGGAUGAGCUGUGGAUAGCGGAGAAAUUCCAAUCGAACCCGGAGAUAGCUGGUUCUCUCCGAAAUAGCUUUAGGGCUAGCGUCGAGUAUGAGUAGUGGAGGUAGAGCACUGAAUGGGCUAGGGGGCAUAGCGCUUACCGAACCUUAUCAAACUCCGAAUGCCACAUACUUUGAGCUCGGCAGUCAGACUACGAAUGAUAAGAUCCGUGGUCAAAAGGGAAACAGCCCAGAUCGUCAGCUAAGGUCCCAAAGUGUAAGUUAAGUGGGAAAGGAUGUGAGAUUUCUAAGACAACUAGGAUGUUGGCUUAGAAGCAGCCAUUCAUUAAAAGAGUGCGUAAUAGCUCACUAGUCGAGAGAUCUUGCGCCGAAAAUGUAACGGGGCUAAACUUACCACCGAAGCUACGGGCUUGAACUUAGUUCAAGCGGUAGGAGAGCGUCGUAACCGGGCUGAAGUCGUACCGUAAGGAGCGGUGGACUGGUUACGAGUGAGAAUGUUGGCAUCAGUAGCGAGAUGUGGGUGAGAAUCCCACAGGCCGAAAACCUAAGGUUUCCUCAGGAAGGUUCGUCCGCUGAGGGUUAGUCGGGACCUAAGCCGAGGCCGAAAGGCGUAGGUGAUGGACAACUGGUUGAUAUUCCAGUACCACUACCAUCGUUAUUAUCGAUGGCGUGACGCAGGAGGAUAGUGUGUGCUAGCUAUUGGAUGCUAGUCUAAGCGUUUAGGCAGUGAGAGUAGGCAAAUCCGCUCUCAUAAUGCUGAGGCGUGAUGGGGAAGGUUCUACGGAACCGAAGUACAUGAUUCCACGCUGCCAAGAAAAGCGUCUAGAGAGAGAAGUAGUGCCCGUACCGCAAACCGACACAGGUAGGUGAGGAGAGAAUCCUAAGGCCGGCGGAAGAAUUACAGUUAAGGAACUCGGCAAAUUGACCCCGUAAGUUCGCGAGAAGGGGUGCCUACGAGAGUAGGCCGCAGAGAAUAGGCCCAAGCAACUGUUUAGCAAAAACACAGGUCUCUGCUAAAGCGUAAGCUGAUGUAUAGGGGCUGACGCCUGCCCGGUGCUGGAAGGUUAAGGGGAACACUUAGCGCAAGCGAAGGUGUGAACUUAAGCCCCAGUAAACGGCGGCCGUAACUAUAACGGUCCUAAGGUAGCGAAAUUCCUUGUCAGGUAAGUUCUGACCCGCACGAAUGGCGUAAUGACUUGGGCACUGUCUCAACUGUAAAUCCGGCGAAGUUGUAGUGCGAGUGAAGAUGCUCGCUACCCGCGAUUGGACGGAAAGACCCCGUAGAGCUUUACUGUAGCUUAGCAUUGAGUUUUGGUAUUGUCUGUACAGGAUAGGUGGGAGACUAGGAAACCAGGGCGUCAGCCUUGGUGGAGUCAACCUUGGGAUACCACCCUGACAGUACUGAAAUUCUAACUGGCGGCCAUGAAUCUGGUCACAGGACAUUGUUAGGUGGGCAGUUUGACUGGGGCGGUCGCCUCCUAAAAAGUAACGGAGGCGCCCAAAGGUUCCCUCAGAACGGUCGGAAAUCGUUCGAAGAGUGCAAAGGCAGAAGGGAGCCUGACUGCGACACCCACAAGUGGAGCAGGGACGAAAGUCGGGCUUAGUGAUCCGGUGGUACCUCGUGGGAGGGCCAUCGCUCAACGGAUAAAAGCUACCUCGGGGAUAACAGGCUGAUCUCCCCCAAGAGUCCACAUCGACGGGGAGGUUUGGCACCUCGAUGUCGGCUCGUCGCAUCCUGGGGCUGAAGUAGGUCCCAAGGGUUGGGCUGUUCGCCCAUUAAAGCGGCACGCGAGCUGGGUUCAGAACGUCGUGAGACAGUUCGGUCCCUAUCCGUCGCGGGCGUAGGAAAUUUGAGAGGAGCUGUCCUUAGUACGAGAGGACCGGGAUGGACUGACCUCUGGUGUACCAGUUGUUCCGCCAGGAGCACAGCUGGGUAGCUAAGUCGGGAAUGGAUAAACGCUGAAAGCAUCUAAGCGUGAAGCCAACCUCAAGAUGAGAUUUCCCAUAGCGUAAGCUAGUAAGAUCCCUUGAAGAACACAAGGUUGAUAGGUCGGGGGUGUAAGCAUGGUAACAUGUUCAGCUGACCGAUACUAAUAGAUCGAGGGCUUGACCAA